UUCACCUGGUGAAGGAAAGAGGACAAGAAGAGACUGGGGCAAAGUGAAAUGCAGUCCACUCUAUGCACCUCUCGAGCACAGGCACCCGCAGAUUAAAUCCCUCCUCCAGAACAGUGCAGCUGUGGAAGAGCUCAGUCAGAAAGCUGCCGACCGAAAGGAACAAGUCUGGCACCUAUGAAGUAAGCCCAGCAGCUCAGUGCACGGUAUCUGGUUUCCCCCCUGGAGGCUGCCAGGAAGAUGAGGACGAAGUGGCACUGAAACUGGAAAGCAGACGGCAUGCUGACACCUCCUCUGGCAGCCUUCUCUCUCUCCCCGUGGCCAAGUUUCUGCCGGUCCGCACUGGUAGGCAGGAACCGCUGGGGUAUCUUGGAGAGAUUCUUUUUAUAGAGCUGUCGGGAGGGGAGGCACUUGGUCCCCGUACUGAUAGGGUAACCCAUGGUAACUGAAUUUCUCUUGCAGUGACACAGUGUGUGGGCAUGACAAGGGUCCAAAUCACUGCCACAAAUUUUCAAGCUGGUUGAACUCCCCUGGCUGGCAGAUGUCUUUUCUACUUACCUAUCUGGUGGACUUGAAAAGCACUGUGGAGAAGAGCCCAUUCCUGUGCAGCUGGGGAACUUGUGUUUAUUUCCAGUUAUUUUAAAGUGAGGAAUGGGGAGAAUCCCUCACUCCUCCUCUUCUUCUUUCCAGUCCUGAGGCAAUUUGAAUUUGCAGGGCUUGCUGCCUGCCUCCUGAUGCUCUGUGACAUCCUACUGGCCAGGCCCAGGUGGGUGCACCUGCAUCUCAGCCAGGCUUACAGCCUGGGGCCAACAUCCCCUGUGAUGUUGGAUGACACACUGGCUUCCAGGUCCUGCAUCUGCAGCAAGUACACAGUAAAACCAGACAGGUCUCGCUGCCAACAUAGCUGUUGCACAUAAAUGAGAAAACUUGGGGUUCCCAAAGGCAGAUUCUUCACAGCAGCUGAAACUACUCCAGCCCUGAUCCUCAAGGGAAAUCUGAGAGAGACCUUUAAAAGGUGAAUCUGGGAAUGAAAAUUCAUAAAUCUGAAGAGUACUAAAAUCCAGUAUAUUCUUGUUUUCUUCUGAUCCAGGAUGAACCAUCAUAGAAUCAUAUAAUCAUAUGUCUAUCUCGGGCUUCUUGCUAAUGUCUCUUUCUGUGCUGUGUUUUGCUGUCAAAUUGACACUUUGGUUUGGUCAAACUUAAAAUACAACCCAAAGCUGCAAAUCUUUAAGUUUGUUGUUUCUAAUUUCAUACUCAGGACUUGUGAACAGAAACAUGUGCUUACUGUUUCACCCAACUUAUUGGCUGAACAGUGACUAAAUAACUGAAUGAUUAAU